UUGGGUCACAACAAGCCCCUGCAGCUCCAGGCUGGGACAGAGCGGCUGGAAAGUGCCUGUUGGGAAAGGCCCUGGGGGCGCUGGUGCCAGGGGCUGGACAUGAGCCCAGGGGUGGAGUAGCAAGCAUGUGGUGGGGUGUACAUAUGAGCACCACCUCUUACCAGCCUCCUCCUGGACCCCCAAAAUUCCCCUUCCCACCUCCCCAGGUGCUGGAUGAGGCCAUCACAGAACACCAACUGACCUGCCAAGUGCGUGGGGGUUGGGUUGGGAAUCAUCCAUACUCAUAGAACCUGCACAGGACAGGCCAGGACGGAAGUGAAGAGCCAAGACUGUGGAUUCCUGCAAAGAGCCCUAACCCAUGUGGGUCAGGAGCUCACUGGACGGUGCAUCUUCAUCGCUCCUGGACAUCUGGUCGUGAUCCGUCUUCCCUCCUGAAGGGUCCUGUGCAAUCCCGCUGGAAACUUGUGAGCAGCACUUGGAGUUUGUUAAACAGCCCCAGUACAUCUUCCCUCGCAGCACCCCGUGCCACACUUUGAUUUGCCUGACAGUUAUACAGCCACCCAGGGCUCGCUUUAAUCUCAGUAGCAGCCUAAAGUAUUUUUCAAGCUGGAGCGUUUCUGUUUUAUGACUGUCCAAAUGCUGCAAUGUUCUGCUGGUAUUACUGUAAAAAUCCAGGGGAAAAAAGCUUAAGCUGAAUUAAUUCUGUGCAGAUUGUGAUUCUCCAUGGGUCAACUCAAUUCUUAGUGCUGACUCAAUCAAAUUUGGCCCCCUCUGCCUGCAGACAGUGGGUUACGGCCCCAGUUUCAAGUCCGGGGGCUGAUCUCUCAGGUAUUAUACAAGGAGGUAUUUUGCCUGGGAGGCACCACAUCUCACUCUGCUUUUGAAACUCUCCGGUUUUAAAACACUGGAAGUACCUCGUGCUCAUGCCAGUUGAACCAAUCCUGCCAUCCAUGGUCAGCUGGGACCCCACAGUGACUGGGGCUGGUUGGAAAUUAAAGUUUGGUAAAUCCCACAGCACUUUGCAGUGUAUUUCG